CGACCGGGUGAGUAAGACGUAGGCGACCGACCACGAAUGGGGGACAACUGCCCGAAAGGGGAGCUAAUACCGCAUACGGCCACUCGGUCAAAGGAGUGGCGAAAGCAGCAAUGCGCUUGGUGGAGGGCCUGCGGCCCAUCAGGUAGUUGGCGGGGUAACAGCCCACCAAGCCAAUGACGGGUCGGGGGUGUGAGAGCAUGACCCCCCACACUGGCACUGAGAACGGGCCAG
rnacentral:rRNA from 1 species